AUUAGCCUUUUAAUUGGAGGCUGGUAUGAAUGGCUAAACGAGAGAUUAACUUUUUUUAUUAUACAAAUUUAACUUAAUUUUUUAGUGAAAAAGCUAAAAUUAUUUAGAAAGACGAGAAGACCCUAUAGAGUUUUAUAUAAAAAAUUUAUUUACUUCAUUAGUUUUGCAAAAGUUUAUAAAUUUUAUAUAUUUUGUUGGGGCGACAUUAAGAUAUAAAAAACUCUUUAUUUUUUUAACUUUUAUAGAAGAAUAGUUUGAUCCUUUAAAAAAGAUUAUAAGAAAAAAUUACCUUAGGGAUAACAGCGUAAUCUUUUUUAAGAGUUCUAAUCGACAAAAAGGUUUGCGACCUCGAUGUUGGACUAAAAUUUAGGCAAGGUGCAGCAGUUUUGCUUUAGGGUCUGUUCGACCCAUCAUAUUUUACACGAUCUGAGUUCAGACCGGCGUGAG
rnacentral:rRNA from 1 species